AUGAACAAGAGUUGCAUGCCACGCUCAUAAAAGUCUACACUAGUGGAGGUGACCCAGUGUUGCUGUCACCACUGCUGAAACGCACCA
rnacentral:miRNA from 7 species